AAAAAUGAAAAUAUUGGUCAGAUGCAUAUCAAAGGCUGUAAUUUCCUGAAAAAUUCUGGAAUUUUAAUGACUAUAGCAUCUCCUUAUGGCAAAACCAAAAGGCAGCGUUGGACAGAAAAAGAAAAAGAAACAGUACUUCAAGCAUUUUCCACACAUAUGAAAAAUUUAACGCUACCGUCUUUACGAGAAAUUCAAGAAACUAAAAAGAAGUAUAGUUGUUUAUUUAAUCGGACAUCGCCGCAAAUAAAAACAUGGAUCCAUAAUAAA